GACGAACUCUGGUAUUGAUUGGUGCUUGCAUCAUGAUUUACAUUUGAGUGAGUGGCGAACUGGUGAGUAACACGUGGGAAACCUGCCCAGAAGCGGGGGAUAACACCUGGAAACAGAUGCUAAUACCGCAUAACAACUUGGACCGCAUGGUCCGAGCUUGAAAGAUGGCUUCGGCUAUCACUUUUGGAUGGUCCCGCGGCGUAUUAGCUAGAUGGUGGGGUAACGGCUCACCAUGGCAAUGAUACGUAGCCGACCUGAGAGGGUAAUCGGCCACAUUGGGACUGAGACACGGCCCAAACUCCUACGGGAGGCAGCAGUAGGGAAUCUUCCACAAUGGACGAAAGUCUGAUGGAGCAACGCCGCGUGAGUGAAGAAGGGUUUCGGCUCGUAAAACUCUGUUGUUAAAGAAGAACAUAUCUGAGAGUAACUGUUCAGGUAUUGACGGUAUUUAACCAGAAAGCCACGGCUAACUACGUGCCAGCAGCCGCGGUAAUACGUAGGUGGCAAGCGUUGUCCGGAUUUAUUGGGCGUAAAGCGAGCGCAGGCGGUUUUUUAAGUCUGAUGUGAAAGCCUUCGGCUCAACCGAAGAAGUGCAUCGGAAACUGGGAAACUUGAGUGCAGAAGAGGACAGUGGAACUCCAUGUGUAGCGGUGAAAUGCGUAGAUAUAUGGAAGAACACCAGUGGCGAAGGCGGCUGUCUGGUCUGUAACUGACGCUGAGGCUCGAAAGUAUGGGUAGCAAACAGGAUUAGAUACCCUGGUAGUCCAUACCGUAAACGAUGAAUGCUAAGUGUUGGAGGGUUUCCGCCCUUCAGUGCUGCAGCUAACGCAUUAAGCAUUCCGCCUGGGGAGUACGGCCGCAAGGCUGAAACUCAAAGGAAUUGACGGGGGCCCGCACAAGCGGUGGAGCAUGUGGUUUAAUUCGAAGCUACGCGAAGAACCUUACCAGGUCUUGACAUACUAUGCAAAUCUAAGAGAUUAGACGUUCCCUUCGGGGACAUGGAUACAGGUGGUGCAUGGUUGUCGUCAGCUCGUGUCGUGAGAUGUUGGGUUAAGUCCCGCAACGAGCGCAACCCUUAUUAUCAGUUGCCAGCAUUAAGUUGGGCACUCUGGUGAGACUGCCGGUGACAAACCGGAGGAAGGUGGGGAUGACGUCAAAUCAUCAUGCCCCUUAUGACCUGGGCUACACACGUGCUACAAUGGAUGGUACAACGAGUUGCGAACUCGCGAGAGUAAGCUAAUCUCUUAAAGCCAUUCUCAGUUCGGAUUGUAGGCUGCAACUCGCCUACAUGAAGUCGGAAUCGCUAGUAAUCGCGGAUCAGCAUGCCGCGGUGAAUACGUUCCCGGGCCUUGUACACACCGCCCGUCACACCAUGAGAGUUUGUAACACCCAAAGUCGGUGGG
rnacentral:rRNA from 2 species